AACGCACAUUGCGCCCGCUAGCAUUCUAGCGGGCAUGCCUGUCCGAGCGUCAUUUCGAACCCCCCAGGCCCGGCUUGGUGUUGGGGCCCUACGGCCGCCGUAGGCCCCGAAAACGAGUGGCGGGCUCGCCGUGGCUCCGAGCGCAGUAGGUAUGUCUCGCUCCGGGGCGCGCGCGGGCGCCUGCCGUGAAAGACGCCGCAGCACGCUGAAAGGUUGACCUCGGAUCAGGCAGGGAUACCCGCUGAACUUAA
rnacentral:misc_RNA from 1 species